GGAAGUAAAAGUCGUAACAAGGUCUCCGUAGGUGAACCUGCGGAGGGAUCAUUACACAAAUAUGAAGGCGGGCUGGAACCUCUCGGGGUUACAGCCUUGCUGAAUUAUUCACCCUUGUCUUUUGCGUACUUCUUGUUUCCUUGGUGGGUUCGCCCACCACUAGGACAAACAUAAACCUUUUGUAAUUGCAAUCAGCGUCAGUAACAAAUUAAUAAUUACAACUUUCAACAACGGAUCUCUUGGUUCUGGCAUCGAUGAAGAACGCAGCGAAAUGCGAUAAGUAGUGUGAAUUGCAGAAUUCAGUGAAUCAUCGAAUCUUUGAACGCACAUUGCGCCCUUUGGUAUUCCAAAGGGCAUGCCUGUUCGAGCGUCAUUUGUACCCUCAAGCUUUGCUUGGUGUUGGGCGUCUUGUCUCUAGCUUUGCUGGAGACUCGCCUUAAAGUAAUUGGCAGCCGGCCUACUGGUUUCGGAGCGCAGCACAAGUCGCACUCUCUAUCAGCAAAGGUCUAGCAUCCAUUAAGCCUUUUUUUCAACUUUUGACCUCGGAUCAGGUAGGGAUACCCGCUGAACUUAAGCAUAUCAAUAAGCGGAGGA
rnacentral:rRNA from 4 species